rnacentral:rRNA from 1 species
GAUGAACGCUGGCGGCGUGCUUAACACAUGCAAGUCGAACGGUGAAGCAGGAGCUUGCUCUUGUGGAUCAGUGGCGAACGGGUGAGUAACACGUGAGCAACCUGCCCCUGACUCUGGGAUAAGCGCUGGAAACGGCGUCUAAUACUGGAUAUGUGAUGUGACCGCAUGGUCUGCAUCUGCAAAGAAUUUCGGUUGGGGAUGGGCUCGCGGCCUAUCAGCUUGUUGGUGAGGUAAUGGCCCACCAAGGCGUCGACGGGUAGCCGGCCUGAGAGGGUGACCGGCCACACUGGGACUGAGACACGGCCCAGACUCCUACGGGAGGCAGCAGUGGGGAAUAUUGCACGAUGGGCGGAAGCCUGAUGCAGCAACGCCGCGUGAGGGAUGACGGCCUUCGGGUUGUAAACCUCUUUUAGCAGGGAAGAAGCGAAAGUGACGGUACCUGCAGAAAAAGCACCGGCUAACUACGUGCCAGCCGCCGCGGUAA